rnacentral:tRNA from 1 species
CAGAUAUAGUUUAAUGGUAGAACAUGAGCUUCCCAAGCUUAGGGUGCGGGUUCGAUUCCCGUUAUUUG